rnacentral:rRNA from 4 species
CGGGAGGCAGCAGUAGGGAAUCUUCCACAAUGGACGAAAGUCUGAUGGAGCAACGCCGCGUGAGUGAUGAAGGUUUUCGGAUCGUAAAACUCUGUUGUUAAAGAAGAACAAGUGUUAGAGUAACUGUUAACACUUUGACGGUAUUUAACCAGAAAGCCACGGCUAACUACGUGCCAGCAGCCGCGGUAAUACGUAGGUGGCAAGCGUUGUCCGGAUUUAUUGGGCGUAAAGCGAGCGCAGGCGGUUUUGUAAGUCUGCUGUGAAAGCCCUCAGCUCAACUGAGGAAGUGCAGUGGAAACUACAAAACUUGAGUACAGAAGAGGAAAGUGGAACUCCAUGUGUAGCGGUGAAAUGCGUAGAUAUAUGGAAGAACACCAGUGGCGAAGGCGGCUUUCUGGUCUGUUACUGACGCUGAGGCUCGAAAGCAUGGGUAGCGAACAGGAUUAGAUACCCUGGUAGUCCAUGCCGUAAACGAUGAAUACUAGGUGUUGGAGGGUUUCCGCCCUUCAGUGCCGCAGCUAACGCAUUAAGUAUUCCGCCUGGGGAGUACGACCGCAAGGUUGAAACUCAAAGGAAUUGACGGGGGCCCGCACAAGUGGUGGAGCAUGUGGUUUAAUUCGAUGCUACGCGAAGAACCUUACCAGCUCUUGACAUCUUCUGCCAACCCAAGAGAUUGGGCGUUCCCUUCGGGGACAGAAUGACAGGUGGUGCAUGGUUGUCGUCAGCUCGUGUCGUGAGAUGUUGGGUUAAGUCCCGCAACGAGCGCAACCCUUAUUAUUAGUUGCCAGCAUUUAGUUGGGCACUCUAGUGAGACUGCCGGUGAUAAACCGGAGGAAGGUGGGGACGACGUCAAAUCAUCAUGCCCCUUAUGAGCUGGGCUACACACGUGCUACAAUGGAUGGUACAACGAGUCGCGAAACCGCGAGGUCAAGCUAAUCUCUUAAAGCCAUUCUCAGUUCGGAUUGCAGGCUGCAACUCGCCUGCAUGAAGUUGGAAUCACUAGUAAUCGUGGAUCAGCAUGCCACGGUGAAUACGUUCCCGGGCCUUGUACACAC